UACGAAGGGGGCUAGCGUUGCUCGGAAUCACUGGGCGUAAAGGGUGCGUAGGCGGGUCUUUUAAGUCAGGGGGUGAAAUCCUGGAGCUCAACUCCAGAACUGCCUUUGAUACUGAGGAUCUUGAGUUCGGGAGAGGUGAGUGGAACUGCGAGUGUAGAGGUGAAAAUUCGUAGAUAUUCGCAAGAACACCAGUGGCGAAGGCGGCUCACUGGCCCGAUACUGACGCUGAGGCACGAAAGCGUGGGGAGCAAACAGGG
rnacentral:rRNA from 1 species